UAUUACCUAACAGGGACUGCGGGGGUGGGAAGUGGGGGCAUCUUCUGAUCUGGCUCCAAGUGAUUCAUGCCCUUGUGUAAUCUCCUCCCUUUCCCCGAAUGUGGGCUAGACCCACUGACUUGCUUCUAAUAAACAGAUAGGGUCCAAGUGAUGGGAUGUCACUUCCAUGAUUAGGUUACAAAACAUGGACUCUUCCAUCUUGUCAGCUCUCUCUCUUGCUGGCCCUCUCUGAAGCAAGCUCCUAUGCUGUAAGACACCCAGCAGAGAGGCCUGCCUGGCGAGGAGCUGAGGCAGGCCUCCAGCCCACUGUCUGCCAUGAGCCAAAUCCACUGAAUCCUGCCAACAACCCUGUGAGUGAGCUAGGAAAGAGCCAGGUGGAUAGCUCUACUCAUGAACACAGGAGGGGAAAAAUGCAGCCAUGCUGGGUGUGCCUUUGACCUAGGCUUUGUUUUGUUCACACACCUUUGUAUGUUGAAUUCUAUGGGUUACGGACUUUACCAGAGAGAAGAGAAGAUACCAUACCUGGCACCAUACCAACUGGGAGAGGAAGCAAAUGGUGGAGAAUUGCCCACUGCAGGCAAAUCUACGAGAGAGAGACACAGUGAGAGAAGGAACACAAGCAGGGGGAGUGGGAGAGGGAGAAGCAGGCUCCCUGCCAAGCAGGGAACCUGAUGCGGGACUCGAUCCCAGGACCCUGGGAUCACGACCUGAGCCGAAGGCAGACGCUUAACGACUGAGCCACCCAGGCACCCCAAAUGUACAUGCAUAUCUUUUAUAAUGUGCUGGCUAUUGUCCACGAAAAAUUAUUAGUAGAAAGGAGAUCUAGGAUGAAUUUAUCUCCCUUUGAAGAAGAUUCUAAAUUGCCUUUGUCAGAUGUCCAAAGGUUUGACUAGAGAUGGUGCUUGAAAUUUGUGUCACCUACCGUAAUACAAGAGUCCUGAGGCUCAAGGUCAAAAUCAGUGAAGUUCAAGAGAAUACGGUGAUUUCUUUCCACCCGAAUGACCCAGGAGCAGUCAGUGUUACGCCUAUAAGGACUGGGGUAAUUUGGAGAAUGAAUCUCUCCAUUGGGAGCCUGGAAAAUCCCGCCACAACCUGUAAGUAGGAAACCCAAUUCAAAAAUGAGAGGAAUCCCUGAUGCAUAAAACUUUGCCCCAUGACCUGAUAGCACAGAACAAUAUGCUGCUUUGUUCAACCACCUGUUUUAUGUAGUUGGUGCUAAACAUUGUGCAGAACUGAAUAUCCACCAUUAAUUCAUGCAUCCCAACAAAAAGAAGGAUGACUAAGAAAAUCUCUCAAAUAAUUUAAAUACUGAUGACAAAAGUAAUUUUUAAAAAAAUUUUUUAAAUACUGAAAAGUAAGUGCAAAUAAAAUCAUGUUCUCAUAAAGCCAUAAAAUGCCUCUUCUUUGCUCUCUAAAAAUAUAAUAUACUGUAAGAAUAACACAUCUCCUACGAAUUUUGAUAGCUUAGUAGUGUAUGUUUUUAAUAAUUUAAUAUCUGCCUUUUAAAAUUUAAUAUUCUGGACCUGGUACAGUUAUUCAGUCCUUUUAUUCCUAUGAUAUUAUCAAAUACCUAUCAAUGUCUAUCUCUAUGACUUAUCAUAUCUUGGAGUUAUGAUAAUAUAAACCUAUAAUAGAAAAAUGUAGUAUUAUUUUCUAAUAGUUGACAACCAUUUUGGGUAAUCUAAACACUAUGUAUACAUAAUCAUAUAUAUAAUCCUCAUUAAAUUCAGGCAUCAUUAACUUUAGGGAAGAUCCAACACACUUACUAUACCACGUUAGGGUUCCAAAAGUGGGGCCAUGAG